GAUGAUUUAGCUCGGCAGCGAGAAGUAGUUUUUGGGGAUAGGAUGUUAUGUGGGGCCGUCACUAUGAAAAGAGAAAGAAGGACUCGGCAACAACAGAGUCCAGAUAGAUUACAACAAAGUUUGUUUGGAAACCUAAGUUUGUUAGGAGAGUCGGUUUGGUCUACAAUAUGAGAUAUUGAGUUUGUUAGGGACUAGCUAGUAGCUUGAAUAAGGGGCAAACGCCAUCAGUUUAUAUAUAUAUAUAUAUAUAUACACACACAUGUAUUGGAGGAAUCAAGCAAUAUAUCAAUCUAUUUCCUAUCUCCCUCAGUCAAGCGUGGAGCAGGCCAGGCCAAGACCUUGCCCCUCCAUCGUCAUUACCUCGUCAUUACCUUGGCUAACGCCGGCCAUAACAUCUGGUAUCAGACAUCCAGGUGUUCCAGUACCCAUGGUGGACGACAACGCCAAGUCUGACUCUAGUGGCUCCAAGGAUGAUCAAGAAACCAAGGCCCUCGUGAUCGAGAUCCUGUAGAAGUUUGAGCGCCUUGAGGCCUUGGAGGAGCGUUUGGGUCGCAUCGAGACCGGCCAAAAGCAGAUGAUUCUCCACACGCAACCACCCGAGAUCCUCCAACAACGCAAAGACGGACCGAUGGGGAACACCCGCUUCCACAAGUUGGAUUUUCCAUCGUUCGACGGCACGACAGAUCCUCUGCCCUUCCUCAACAGAUGUGAGCACUACUUCCGUGGACAGCGCACCAUGAAUGAGGAGCAUGUAUGGCUCGCUGCCUUGCACCUUCACGGCACCGCGCAACAGUGGUAUAUGCGCCUUGAGCGCGAUGAGGGCACGCCAUCUUGGCGACGCUUCUCUGAACACUCGACCUCCGGUUUGGACCACCGUUGCGUUCCUAUCCCUUGGGCGAGCUAGCGGCCUGCCGGUGCACCGGUUCUGUGGUAGAUUACCAAGAGCGCUUCCUUGCACUGCUCACCCGUGCAGGCCCACUGAACGAGAGUCAGCAGGUCCAAUUCUUCACGGCUGGCUUGCAAGAACCCCUCUCCAUCGAUGUCCAGCUUCAGGGACCGCAAUCCCUGGAGAUCGCUAUGAGUUUGGCACGCUCCUUUGAGCAUCGGGAACAGGCCGUUGCCACAACGGCCGCUUCAUCCGCGCCACCUUCCCGGUCCUAUCAUGCUCCGGCUCAGCGUGGCCUCCUACCCCCUCCUGCGGCAGGCACUCCUCCAACACCACCAACUCAGGCGUUGGCCGGCCAGCCAAAUCCACCUGGUCUCGUCACAUUAGCUAGGCGCACGGUUUGCCGUUUGACACCCGAGGAAAUUGACGAGCGCCGCCGCACUGGGCAGUGCUUUAACUGUGAUGACAAGUAUGUACGGGGGCACAAUCGUGUCUGUAAGCGUCUGUUCCACCUGGAGAUAGCAGAGGCGGAUGAUGGCAUGGACACCGAAGAUGGGAUGGACGACCCCAAGAUCUCAAUGCAAUUGCCGGUGUUGCGUCCUCCGAGACGAUGCAGGUUCUGAUCCGCCUUGGCGGAGCCUCUCUGCGCGCAUUAUUGGACACGGGCUCCACCCACAAUUUCAUGUCCACCGCAGCAGCAGAGCGCGUCCAGCUGCCAUUCCAACCAAAGGAGGGCUUGCAUGUUAUGGUGGCUAAUGGCGACCGGGUUCCCUGCUCUGAUGUGUUUCGCCGUGCACCGUUUUCCAUCACUACUGAGGCUUUUGAAGCUGAUUUCUACGCACUACCUCUCGAUGGAUAUGAUGUGGUACUUGGCACCGACUGGCUCACAACAUUGGGGCCGGUCCUCUGGGACUUCAGCCGCCUGUCCAUGACAUUCUGGCACGGGAGCUCUAGUGUUACUUGGCGCGGCAUCGCUGGUUCCAGUGGCAAGCAGCCGCGGGCAUCAUCAGGCCCCGACCUUCUCGAGGCUCUCUUGGCAGAUUUCGACGACGUCUUUGCUGCCCCAUCGGCCUGCCCCCGCCACGAUCACAUGACCACCACAUUCAUCUCCUUCCAGGAACUCCACCGAUUGCAGUGCGGCCAUAUCGCUACCCACUGACAUAGAAGGACAAGUUGGAGUCCCAAUGUAGUACCAUGGAAGCCCAGGGCAUCAUUUGACGUAGGACAUCGCCCUUUUCGGCUCCAGUUCUACUUGUCAAAAAGGCUGAUGGUUCAUGGCGCCUUUGUGUUGACUAUAGGGCACUGAAUGACCGCACCAUCAAAGAUAAGUUCCCUAUUCCUAUAGUCGAGGAACUGCUGGAUGAGCUGCAUGGUGCACGCUUCUUCUCCAAGUUGGACCUUUGCUCGGGGUAUCACCAAGUCCGCAUGCAUCCGGCCGAUGUUGAAAAGACAUGCCACCAUCGUCAGCCUCAUGGGAGGACUUGCACCAGUUUCAGGAGAGCUACCCUUCUUUUCAGCUCGCGGACGAGCUGUUGCUCCAGGGGGGGAGGGGGAGAUGUUAUGUGGGGCCGUCACUAUGAAAAGAGAAAGAAGGACUCGGCAACAACAGAGUCCAGAUAGAUUACAGCAAAGUUUGUUAGGAAACCUAAGUUUGUUAGGAGAGUCGGUUUGGUCUAGAAUAUGAGAUAUUGAGUUUGUUAGGGCUGGACUAUUCUGUUGCCCAUAACAGAAUAUUAUUCUGUUACCCCUGGCCACUAUAUACAGCGCCCUCCAUCAGAAACGAGAAAACCAACCCAAAAAGAAAAACUCUUAUCCACUCCCACCCUGCAGCCUCCCGAUUCUUCUCCACCUUCCAUCGUCGGGCGUUGUCCCCCGCAACUCCGGCGGCCUCCUUCCCCUGCUCAGGCUGCCUCCCUCCCCAGCUCCGGCCGCCUCCCUUCCCAGUGUCGGCCUCCUCCCUCCCCAGCGCCGGCCUCCUCCCCAGCAUGCCGCCGGCCGACCUCCCUCCCAGCGUGCCGCCAGCCGGCCUCUUCCCAGUGCGCCUCCGGCCGGCCUUGCCUCAAGCGCGCCGCCACGACGGCCCUCGCCGCCACCACCACCUCCCACCGCAACCACCACCACCACCUCCCACCGCAACCACCACAACCUUCUCAUCCUCGUGAGCCCACGCCCGUCACUCCCCACGAACCCCACCGCCUCCAUCCCUCCUACACCGGCGCCGCCCUUACCUCGCGACGACAGCCGCCCUCCCUCGCGCCGGCAGCCGCCCUCCCUCGCGCGCCGGCCUCCUCCACCCUCACGCUCAGGACGCCUUCCUUCCUGCGCUCCGGUCGCCUUCCUCCUCGCGCGCCGGCCUCCUCCCUACCCCGCGCUCUGUCUGCCUUUCUUCCCGUGCUCCGGCCGUCUUCCUCCCCGCGCUCUGGCCGCCUUCCUCCCCGCGCUCCGGCCUCCUUCCUCCCAGCAAUCAGUUCGCCUCCCUCCCCACGCUCCGUCCACCUUCCUCCCCGAGAUCCAUCCGCCUUCUCCCCUAAGAUCCCACGGCCGUACCGCCGCCGGCCAACCCCUCCAUCUGUAAGUAAGGGCACUGGGCUGCCCUCCACGCCGGGGUGGCCCUGCUAGCCAUCAGCGGGGGAAGCGGAGUGGCUGCCAUGGCGGGGGUGGAGACGAGUUCGUCCUGGGCGUGCGCAUCCUCGGGAAGUCCAUCUGCAAUAUGGGCACCUCGCAGUGACCUCAUAGUGCUCGUCCUAGACUACUCUCCGAAGCCAUCGAGGUAUGCGUGCACAUCUGCACAUCUGCACAUCUGCACAUCGAGGUAUUGCUAGGAGAUGGGUGCAAGAAAGAACCAAUUUAUUUUGCAUUCAAUCGCCAUUGGAGUUGGUCUUGUGCACCACAAAAUUAACUUUCUGAAGCUACCUCUAUGGUUAAUAAAAGCACGUGAGCAUCCUUCUACGUAGUAAGUUCAUAGUCAAGAAGACAGGGAGUUCAGAAAAGAACGUGAACACUGAAAGACCAUAAAAAACCAAAAACCUACAUUAGGGGAGUUCUUCAAGAAGUUCAUGGCUAGCCGGCCGUGUUGUGUGUUCUUAUCAGUUCAUUGUAAGAAGACAAGUAAUUAGUUUAUAUAUCUAGCCUGGCGUGUUGUGUAUGUGUUUCCCUUGUGGCGUAUGAGAGGAAGCCGCUGAUCUGGUCCAGGCAUGCUCCUAUUCUCUCUUUUCGGUAGCACAAACAUUUAAAAGUUUGAUCGCUAGACCCCGGUAAGUUCUGCUUGACAAAACCUCCUCUCUCAUAUUUGUUCCUAUUUUGUAGGUUGCAGCAAAAAAAAAGAUGCACAAGUUCAUAUUUUGUAUGCUUUUCGGUUCAUCUACUUCCCUGUGAUGAGUCCGAUUUCCUUUGUGUUUCAUCUUCUUCAUAUAGCACAAACAAGUGCUUGUGGUUAUGCUUGUAGUUAUGCGUAGUCCAUGGGUUCUAGUAUUUGAUUACAGUCAGGCCACGAGUUAGUAUUGUGGUACUCCGUUGCAAGAAAAAAGGGUUGUCGGUUCAGUUAUAGGCACCCAACUCUGAAGAUUUUGAAUUUUUAGCAUGGUAUUUUAAGUUUGUUUUUUAUCAUAUAAUGUAAAAUUGUAAACAUGUUUCCAACGGUCUUUGCUCCCAGUUCUGAACUUUUUAUUCAGUCUGCUAGUACAGUCGUCGUGGUCGCCACCCCGACGCCUAGCCUGCCAACCCGCGUCGCGUUGCCCCGGGACCCCCGAGCACUGCCGCGCCCCAUCGCCGGUGCCUCACGCUCGAUCUAGGAGGUGCUGGCUCAUGCUGGCUGGAACUAGGAUGCAACAGGGUUGAUGGAUCCAUGCCGCACAAGCACCGGGAGAAGGUGCCUCAUGGUAAAAGCGUGCCAAGAUUUUCUAGAAUAAAAAUAAGAUGUAUGCAUUGCUUCUUGGCCCAGCUUGAGAGAACCCUCAUGUUAAAAAGUAUAAAGCAGUUUUGAAGCAACUCCCAGUGUCUUUAGAAGCAUUCAUGGUUAAAAAGCAACGACAACCUCAUCCAUUCGAGUUGAGCACUGGUCAUCGUCCAAGUUGAGCACUAGGUGCCGGCCAAGUUAAAAAAGAGUAGUAUGCAAGUACAGAAGUUUGUUUUAGUGAGAAAAAUUCAUACUGUCUUCUAUAACUCGUUUCACUUCACGAUUUCUUCACUAGUUUGUUGUUUCCUAAUUAUCCUAAUUCCUAAUUGUUCUACUCAACUUUAGCGCCAUGCUCAGUACAACCCCGUGGCUUCAGGGUGGCCGAGUUCGUCGCGACCAUCAGUUCAGAGACCUGCAUCACUGCGCGUGUCGCUACCAUGGCCCCCUUGUGUCACUGCGUGCUUCGUCAACAAGCCUCCUGCACAUGGAAAAGCAACAGGAGUCUGAGAUGCUCUGUUCUAGUGAGGUGGCUGAUUAUGUUAGUUUGUAAUACUUUGGCCGCGGUGUACUUAUGUAUCUUUUUCUGGCCGGAGCAUGACCAGAGCUUAUGUCAGUACGAACUUUGAUUGUGAUGGUAAUACAAACUCUAUAGGGUACUUACCUUUUAUACAAUUCACAUGGAUUGUGCCCCUAUUACCAUGUGGUACAAAAAUGCACUAUGCUCACCAUUUUAUUUUAGUUCAUCAGUUUGUAAUACUUUAAAAAGAGGAGGUAAAAAUGAACCAUUCGGUUU